rnacentral:rRNA from 1 species
CAGUCUCUGGGCUGUAACUGACGCUGAGGAGCGAAAGCAUGGGGAGCGAACAGGAUUAGAUACCCUGGUAGUCCAUGCCGUAAACGUUGGGCACUAGGUGUGGGGGACAUUCCACGUUUUCCGCGCCGUAGCUAACGCAUUAAGUGCCCCGCCUGGGGAGUACGGCCGCAAGGCUAAAACUCAAAGGAAUUGACGGGGGCCCGCACAAGCGGCGGAGCAUGCGGAUUAAUUCGAUGCAACGCGAAGAACCUUACCAAGGCUUGACAUGAACCGGAAAGACCUGGAAACAGGUGCCCCGCUUGCGGUCGGUUUACAGGUGGUGCAUGGUUGUCGUCAGCUCGUGUCGUGAGAUGUUGGGUUAAGUCCCGCAACGAGCGCAACCCUCGUUCUAUGUUGCCAGCGCGUUAUGGCGGGGACUCAUAGGAGACUGCCGGGGUCAACUCGGAGGAAGGUGGGGACGACGUCAAAUCAUCAUGCCCCUUAUGUCUUGGGCUUCACGCAUGCUACAAUGGCCGGUACAAAGGGUUGCGAUACUGUGAGGUGGAGCUAAUCCCAAAAAGCCGGUCUCAGUUCGGAUUGGGGUCUGCAACUCGACCCCAUGAAGUCGGAGUCGCUAGUAAUCGCAGAUCAGCAACGCUGCGGUGAAUACGUUCCCGGGCCUUGUACACACCGCCCGUCAAGUCACGAAAGUUGGUAACACCCGAAGCCGGUGGCCUAACCCUUGUGGGGGGAGCCGUCGAAGGUGGGACCGGCGAUUGGGACUAAGUCGUAACAAGGUAACCAAGGG